AAAAAUGUAAAUACCUUUAUUAUAAAACAAAUUCCACCUGUUAUUGAUGAUCCUAAAUGGGAAUCUUAUCCCAUUAAAUUUCAUGGAUAUUAUGAUUUAUUAGAAGAAGCUAGACAGAGAGCAACAAACUAUUCUUCAAAUAAGGAAAGCAAUAUAAAUGAAAUAAAGAAGUCCGCACAAGACAGUUGAAUAAAACUGUUUCUCACGAUGAGUCAGAAUCUGAUUCUGAUGACUCACGUUUAGUUAUACCAAAUCCACCAAAUCUUACUGUAAAUACAAAUGCCUCGCAAUCAAUUAACAAAAGUCAAUCUAUCGCAACUGUUAUUAAUUCAUCAGUUGUCAGCAAUGAUAUUGACCUGGAGAUUCUUGAUGGAAUUUUAGUAUCACUUAAAAGUAUACAGGAUGUACAUACGUUAAUAUCAGAUGGAUUCGAAAAAAUGGAAGGUCAUUUUAAGAAUAUAUAUACAGCUAUAACUACAGUUACAUUAGGAAUACAAGAAUGAAUACUAAAUGUUCAUUUAACAAAUAUAGAAAAACAAAAUAAUCAACAUAAAUCCAAAGCAUCUGUCACGGAUACAUCAAAUAUACAUCAAUUUUUUCCAUUUAAAAAUAUAAAUGAAGUAACAGCUUUUGAAAACCGUUUAUCAGAAAAUGUAGAUGAGUACAACAAAUUUCAUCUAAAUAGAACAAUAGAAAUUGUAUUUUUGGUAUGUUUUAUUUCUAAAGAUGCUGUAUAU